AGAACACUUCCCUAGCAACUAACCUAACUCCCCCCUGAUGCAGCUCCAUGGCUUUCCCUCAACUCCUGCCACCAGAGAGCAGAGAGGUAAAUGUGAUCUGUGAAUAAGGUGAACUGAUGGAUUCUACCAAUUGAGAAGAUGAAGACUGAGCUCUUUGCCAGUGGCAGUGAUGACGUUCAGAUCUCAAGUUACAGUAAAAGGUGAACAGAAGGAAAAAGUCAUCUCACGUCACCAGAUACAAAUGCCAAGAUUGUACUUAAGUUCUGUAAAAAAAACAAACAACAAAAAUUAUACAUUUACAAUAAAAAUACUGUUUC